CAACCAUCGGAGACAUUGGAAAUUAAAACCGUACAAUGCCAUCAAACAUCAGCAUUUCCAAUGCUAAAAUGAUGCCCCCUACUGCACUGUGUGGAAAAAGAAUUGGUUUGAAAUUCCAAAUGUUGCAUUUUCCUCCAAAAGAAGGCGUGAAACUACAACUUGAUAGAAAAUAGACUUGCACCAACGAUAGCUGAAUUAGAAAGAGGACGAGGAAUGUAUGCCAAAGAUACAUUUUGAAGGAGUACAAGGGCACAAAGCAAAGUUCUGAGCCAAGUUAAACAAAAUGCACCAAAAAAGAGAUGUGCGCGUAACACAAUUUCUUUGAAGGAGAAAUUUCCGUUGGAAACAAAAUUUUCAUUAACGUUCUAAUGUGUGACACAGUUCAAUCGUCUUUUGUUGCGUACUAUCAAAUAUGGACCGUUAAGAAGAGUCCUUUCCAGCGUAAAAUAAUAAACUACUUAUACUACAGAAACACAGAAUAAACUCCAGAAAUUACAUACC